UUAAUUGAAACCAAAUUAGAGGUAAAUCAUUGUUAAUGAUAAAAUUGAACUUAGUUCCAAUUAAA
rnacentral:tRNA from 1 species